UGAGGGCAAUUUGUACUUUUCGAUUUGGGAUUGUUUCACUAUAUAUUUGUAGUGAAGGUUUUUUUCUCUGUAAUCAAUCUAAGAGAGGUGUGAGGACGAACGACUGUAACCAUAUUCUCCAUUGAUAGUGAAGCAGAUCUCAUCUCACAGUGGACAUAGAUAAUCUUGCCGAAUCACAAAUACU